rnacentral:rRNA from 1 species
AGAUAAGAUGAUCUCUUCGGAGUGAAUCUUUGCUGACGAGUGGCGGACGGGUGAGUAAUGCUUGGGAAUCUGCCCAAUAGUGGGGGAAAACUCGGGGAAACCCGGGCUAAUACCGCAUAAUCUCUACGGAGGAAAGAGGGCCUCUACAUGUAAGCUCUCGCUAAUGGAUGAGCCCAAGUCAGAUUAGCUUGUUGGUAAGGUAAUGGCUUACCAAGGCUACGAUCUGUAGCUGGUCUGAGAGGACGACCAGCCACACUGGGACUGAGACACGGCCCAGACUCCUACGGGAGGCAGCAGUGGGGAAUAUUGCACAAUGGGCGCAAGCCUGAUGCAGCAAUGCCGCGUGUGUGAAGAAGGCUCUAGGGUUGUAAAGCACUUUCAAUAGAGAAGAAAAGCUUGAAAUUAAUACUUUCAAGCCUUGACGUAACCUAUACAAGAAGCACCGGCUAAUUCCGUGCCAGCAGCCGCGGUAAUACGGGAGGUGCGAGCGUUAAUCGGAAUUACUGGGCGUAAAGCGAGCGUAGGCUGUUAAUUAAGUCGAAUGUGAAAUCCCCGGGCUCAACCUGGGAACUGCAUCCGAAACUAUUUAACUAGAGUAUGGGAGAGGAAAGUAGAAUUUCCGGUGUAGCGGUGAAAUGCGUAGAUAUCGGAAGGAAUACCAGUGGCGAAGGCGGCUUUCUGGAACAAUACUGACGCUGAGGUUCGAAAGCGUGGGGGAGCAAACAGGAUUAGAUACCCUGGGUAGUCCA